ensembl:lncRNA
UUUGGAGAAUCGAAACCGCCGGACCUGGGGCGGGGUUCUGGAGGUGUCCCCGGGAUGAAGCUCUGGCGGGCGGUGGCCGCCGUGGCCCUGGCGGUGGCCGCCGUGGCCCUGGCGGUGACUGUCCCCACGCUGCAGUGCCGGCGCGGGGGCGGCUCCGGGGAGGGGCUGCAGGAGGCUCUGGAUGCCACCAACAGGUCCCUGGCCGAGUCCCGCGGGAGGUGGCAGCGCUGCAGGGAGGAGCUGGCAGCGCUGCAGGGAAAGGUCCUGGAGCUGGAGCAGGCGCUGGCCGAUGUCACCCGGCUGGAGGAGCAGAACCGGGAGCUGGGGACAGAGGUGACGCGGCAGCGGGAGCAGCUGGAGGAGGAGCAGAGCCUCAGGGCCAAGCUCCAGCGGCAGAACCGGUUCCUGCAGGAGGAGCUGUGGGACAUGAGGAGACAGCGCUCGGCAGGGGACAGGCUGGCCCUGUCCCGCACUGUCCCUGCGCUCCUCCUCCUCCUCGGGAUGCUGCUCCUGUGACCCGGAGCACCCCGGGGUCCCCUGUCCCCGCUGUGGGCUGACCAGGGACUGUCCCCACCCGGCCUGGGGGUGGCGGUGACCUCAGGGUGCCCCGUCCCCUGCUCAGCCUUGUCCCAGGUCCCCAACUCCAUGGGGACACCCCGGAGUGACCAUUCCCCUCCGGCCACCCUGGAGAGGGAGGAGACAGGGACAGGGAACAGGGGACAGGGGACAGGGUCAUCCCAACGCUGCCCUGAGCCAUAGAUACCCCACGAUUCCUGAUUUUUAACCCAAUUCCAAUAAAACCUGCCAAACUCGGCCUUUCUCUCGCUGCGGGCGCCGCAGAGCUCCGCGCUGGGGACAGCUGGGAACUGAGCGCCCCAGCGGUCACCGAGGUCACCGCGGUUUGUCCCCGCAGCUGGGGCGCAGCCCUGUCCCCUCCCCAGCACAAACAAAACCUAUUCUGGGCCGUGACCCGCCACAGCCCUCGGCCCACGCGCGACAAUUACGGCGUCGCCAGCAGCGCCGCCGCCACAUCCCGGCACGGCCACCGCCGGAGCGGCUCCGCCUGUCCCCUCCCGUGCCCCGCUGUCCCCUGCUGUCCCCUCGGGCAUGGACCCCGCGGUGCCCAGGGCCACGCUGAAGGUGCUGGGGCUGUGCGCGGCGCUGCUGCUGCUGGUGGCCGCGGUGACGGUGGCGGUGGCCGUGAUGGUGUGGCGCUCCGAAGCCCUGGGCAAGCUCCGGGGCUGCCGGGAGCGAGCGGCCAACGAGAGCCGGGAGCUCGGGACGCGCCUGGAGGAGCUGCAGCGGCAGCGGGAGCGGCUGCGGAGGGACGGGGACGCGCUGCGCCGGGAGCUGGCACGGGCACGAGGGGACAGCAGCAAGGACAAUGCCAGCCUCGUGUCCUGCCGGGAGCGGGCGGCCAGGCUGGAGGCCAAUGUCACCGCGCUGGGGGACGAGCUGGUGGCGCUGCGGCGCGAGCGGGCCCAGCUGGCCGGUGACAAAGUGGCCCUGCAAGGUGAGCCCUGUCCCCUGCGAGGAGCCGGCCGGGGCUGCGCUCCGUCCCGGGGUGACGCCGCUGUCGCCGCUGUCCCCAGAGGAGGUGGCGCGGGGCGCGGAGGAGGCGCGGGGGCUGCGGCGGCGGCUGCAGGAGGCGCUGGAGCAGCAGCGGGAGCUGCGGGAGAGCCGGGAGCGCUGCGAGGCGCGACAGCGGGAGCUCCAGGACAGCCUGUAAGGGCCCUGUCCCGUGGGGACAUCCCCCUGUCCCUCGGGGACAGCCCCUGUAAGGGCCCUGUCCCUCGGGGACAGCCCCUGUAAGGGCCCUGUCCCUCGGGAACAUCCCCUGUAAGGGCUCUGUCCCCCGGGGACAGCCCCUGUCCCGUGGGGACACCCCCUGUCCCGUGGGGACAUCCCCCUGUAAGGGCCCUGUCCCCCCUUGGGGACCCCGCUGGUGUCCCCCAGCCCCUGUGACACCCU